ACGGCGAUAAAUUCAUUUCUCGUUAACGUGAAACCCGCGGGAAAUAUUUUUCCGAAACCGCUAUCGCUUAACCGUUUCCAAUCCACCAAGGAUUCCUGUGUGUAUUCUCCUGGCAGCGGUUGUGGUGCUCGACCAGCAGUUGGCCUCGUUUGGAAACCGCAACUGUCCACAAAUCCGGCAGAAUAGAAAUUUGUUCAAAGGGGUAGCCGAAACCGAUGGGAACCUCAACCUCAGCUGACCGUUCGAAAGUUUCUAGAAAAGUCCUCCAACGAAACUCCCAGUCUAAGAAAACAGGCUACAAUAAACGGCCGGCGACUUCAGCGGCAUGGAAAAACUCAAUUCUACUCGGAGCAAGACGGCGGAAGCUAGACAUGGCCUCAAACAAUUUCACCGGGAACAAUCGAACGAUGCUACUAAUCUGUCAGGGACGUCAAGUGUGCUGAUUAUUGUAUUUCCCUGGGAUCACUGCCGACUUACCGGAACCUGGGAUUUUGCCACUGGGAUCGAUUGACAAGAGACCACACCUGACGUCCUAUACGGUCACCCGAAACGCUGCUCGUCGAAUAGCAUAAAUGUUGGUUGCCCGUUCACCGAUAAAGCCCAAAAAAAUACGCCGGCUUUCUUUCGUUCUACCUACCCUAUUGCUGAGAUCGGUGGGCUUUCCGGCUGGGAAGUAAUCAGCAGUAGCAGGACAAACAAUUCGGAUCAAAAUGCAGUUGUAUUCCUGUAAAUUUACCACCACCACCCGAUGGCAGUUUCUUUGGUCGGUUUCGGGCGGAGGCUGAACGUUGAACGGGCCAGAAAUAAAAUUUUGUUUGUUUAAUUUGGUCGGCCAUCAGCACAACUAAAGGCUAUUUAGGCCGUAUGAAAUAAAAUUUUGUUUUGUGUAAAUAGUGUGAAAAACCAAUAAAAAUAAAAUAUAA